rnacentral:rRNA from 1 species
UACGUAGGUGGCAAGCGUUGUCCGGAUUUACUGGGCGUAAAGAGCGCGCAGGCGGUCGGAUAAGUCGAAUGUGAAAGCCCCCGGCUCAACUGGGGAGGGUCAUUCGAUACUGUUCGACUCGAAGGCAGGAGAGGGAAGUGGAAUUCCCGGUGUAGUGGUGAAAUGCGUAGAUAUCGGGAGGAACACCAGUGGCGAAGGCGACUUCCUGGCCUGUUCUUGACGCUGAGGCGCGAAAGCGUGGGGAGCGAACGAGG